rnacentral:tRNA from 1 species
UAGCUUAGCAGCAUAAGCACCUGCCUUGCAAGCAGGCAGUUAUGAGUUCAAUCCCCAU